UACGGGGGGGGCAAGCGUUGUUCGGAAUUACUGGGCGUAAAGGGCUCGUAGGUGGCCAACUAAGUCAGACGUGAAAUCCCCCGGCUCAACCUGGGAACUGCGUCUGAUACUGGAAGGCUAGAGUUUGGGAGAGGGAUGUAGAAUUCCAGGUGUAGCGGUGAAAUGCGUAGAUAUCUGGAGGAAUACCGGUGGCGAAGGCGGCAUCCUGGACCAAUACUGACGCUGAGGCGCGAAAGCUAGGGGAGCAAACGGG
rnacentral:rRNA from 1 species